ensembl:ribozyme RNaseP_nuc Nuclear RNase P
GUAGGAGGAAGCUCACUGCAGAGGUCACAAGCUGAGUGUUAUUCACUCUCUCUAGAACCUUGGGGAAGGUCUGAGACAGGAGCCAAUCACUGUCCUUGCAGGGCAUCACCUGAUCCAGGUGAGUGAGUACACAGAAACAUUGGGCUUGAGUGGUGUGUCUUCAUAAAAGAAGUCAGUCAGUUCUGUAAAGUAGUUCUCCUGAUGGAUAUGACAUCACUGGCUUGGAAAUGCUUAUGGCUGGCAACAGAGUUCAAUGUGAGCUGGAGCUGAUUUCCAGAACCCAAUUCAGACUACUCUCCUCCCAC